GACGAACGCUGGCGGCGUGCCUAACACAUGCAAGUCGAACGCAGUGGCGAACGGGUGAGUAAUACGUGAGUAACCUUCCCUCCCUUUUGGGUUAAGCCUUGAAAACAGGGUCUAAUACCGGAUAACGGGGGAUGGGCUCGCAGCCUAUCAGCGUGUUGGUGGGGUGAUGGCCUACCAAGGCGGUGACGGGUAGCCGGCCUGAGAGGGUGACCGGCGACAUAGGGACGGAGAUACGGCCCAGAGGAGGACGGGAGGGAGAAGUGGGGGAUAUGGCACAAAGGGCGAAAGACUAAUGCAGCGAGAGCGAGUGAGGGAUGAAGGCUUUCAGGUUGUAAUGCUAGUGCAGUAUCGGAAGGGUAGGUAGAGAGGAAGCGCCGGCUAACUACGUGCCAGCAGCCGCGGUAAUAC
rnacentral:rRNA from 1 species